rnacentral:rRNA from 1 species
UAAUACGUAGGUGGCAAGCGUUGUCCGGAUUUAUUGGGUUUAAAGGGUGCGUAGGCGGUCCUUUAAGUCAGUGCUGAAAUACUCUAGCUUAACUAGAGGGGUGGCAUUGAUACUGGAGGACUUGAAUGAAGUCGAGGUAGGCGGAAUUGACGGUGUAGCGGUGAAAUGCUUAGAUAUCGUCAAGAACACCGAUAGUGAAGACAGCUUACUAGGCUUAGAUUGACGCUGAGGCACGAAAGUGUGGGGAUCAAACAGGAUUAGAUACCCUGGUAGUCCACACUGUAAACGUUGAUAACUCGCUGUUGGCGAUAUACAGCCAGCGGCUUAGCGAAAGCGAUAAGUUAUCCACCUGGGGAGUACGCCGGCAACGGUG